rnacentral:tRNA from 2 species
UAUAUUUUAGUGUAUGAUGCACAAAAGUUUUUGAUACUUUCAGGAAUAGUUUAAAUCUAUUAAAUAUAA